UAUAUUCAACUUACAUAACCUGGUAACAUUGCUGCUUUGCUGGAGAAGAAAAUUUUGGAAUUAAACAGAAUCCAAGGCAUAAAAUUAUGUCACAGCGAAAUCACCGAGUGGACCGCUUCGCGCAGAUGACAAAGCAGGAGGAGAUCAUAGCCAAGAAGCGGCAGGAGAUCCUCGAGAAACAGAAGACGGCGCAGCUGGCAAAGGCGGUGGCUGCGGCGCAAAACUUAGCGGCGCAACUGAAAACUGAGACGCCUGCGGUAAAAGUGAUUGGAAACGGGGAGCUGGAGGAGGAGGAUGUCCAAAACCCGGACAUUGCUGCCCAGGACACACCCCUUACGGCCGGCGAAGAGGGCAAUGGCCUAGAGGUGGGUCCCAUCGAGGCCACGGUCAGUAAAGUGAAGUUGGAAGACGCGGUGGCCCCCAAGACGCUCAAUAGCUUCACCGGCAAGACGGGAAAGAUCACAUUUGGCCAGAAGCGCCAGCAGCUGCCACAACCCAGUGUAGAACAGCCACCUCCGAAGGUAAAGAACACCUUCUGCAACGAUGGUUCCUUUCUGGAGAACUUUAAGAAAAUACUCGAAAAGCAUGAGAAGCCUCCGCAGCCCUUACUCGUUCCACCCAUACAAAUGCCCAGCGCCGAGGAGAACAGUACCCUGGAAACUGACACCGCCGAGAACAGCAGUUCCCAGCUGGAGGCGGCCAUCGCCAUUAGCUCGGCAGCAGCCAUGGCCACCUCCAUAACUGUGACCAGCUCGGCUCCAACUCACCUGACUUUUGGGCUUCCCGUUCAGGCUGUGCAGCCACCACCGCCGCCUCCGUUUGCCUUCAAUCCUACGCUUUUGCAACAGGGACCACCGCAAAUGCAGCUGCCAGCCGCCUUCUUCCACGGCCACCUGCCUCUGCACCUGCACCCGGCGGCAGUUGCUCCUCCUCCACCCCCGCCGCCACCACAGCUGCCCAUCGCGCUGGCCAACAUGGGUCAGAUUUACAUGCAGCUUGGACCGACGCCAGUGGAGGCCAUGCAGCUGAAUGCCAUACCGGCGCCAAAGGAGUUUGACUUAAAUGCGAUACCCAAGCCACAAAUAAACCUGGAAGCUAUCCAGAUGCCCACCAUUGGCGGGCAUUCGGCGGAGCAGCUUGGUCUCCUGCCGGAACACAUGGCAAUGCAAGUUAAUCCCCACCCACCGCCACCGCCGCCACCUGUGCUAGAGGAGAUGGAGCAACAACAACCGCAGCCACAUUUGCCACAGGUGGUGCCUCCGCAGCCGCCUCAGCCCGCAGCUGCCCCUCAAGUUUUUUCAGAAACGUGCAUACAAUUGCCAACGUGCUUAGAAAACCUAAUCGCACUGGUCGCGGAAAAUGGUGAAGAUUAUGAAGAUAAAAUUCGUUUGCAUAGAAGCGAGUUGCAUCCGGCCUUGUGGUUUCUUUAUGAUAAGAGCUGCGAGCAGUACCGAAGCUAUCGCUCCCAACUCCUUGACUACGAGCGCCAGCGCGUUGAACGGCAACGGGAGCGGGAGCAUCAGCAGCUAAGCCGGGACCAGCAGCCUCAGCCCAAGGAGCAGGAGGCUCAGCCACACCACGAGGAGCAGCACAGCAACUCGGCGGCCGACAAGUACGACCCGGAGUCGGCCAUCAGUGCGGACUUUGACUCGGACGAUGAGUACAUGCGGGGCAUGAUGGACCGCAACCGGGACAACAUCAAGCGCCGCAUUGAGUGCCGCAACGAGCUGAGCGACGAGGAGAGGCGUGAGCGGGAAGAGGCGGCCGCCGCCGGAGGAGCGGUGGACGGUGAUGACCAUGACGAUCAGGAGGACAAGGAGUCGCAGAGGCAGCGACGGAAGCGGGAGCGCAAGAGCCGUUGGGGAGAGAAGGAGCAACAGUUGCCCACCUCAAGCACUUCGGGAAACUUUGGUAACCAAAACAAACCCAUGCUAAGCAGCAUCACACGCACGGACCCUGCUCUCCUGCAGUAUGCUCGCCUUAACUACGGAUCCACGCAGCUGAGCGAGGAGCAGUGGAAGCAGUGUGAAGAGCACUACAAAGUGAACCUGCUGUAUCAGGACAUGAUGCGCAAGCGUCAGGAGAUCGAUCGUCUGGCUCGCGGCGGAAAGUUUAAGUACGAAUACGACUCGGACGAGGACAUUGAGGGCGGAACGUGGGAACACAAGUUGCGCACAGCUGAAAUGGAGGCCACAUCGCUGUGGGCCAACGCCCUCACCAAGCAAAGCGAGGGCAAGCACCACAUUGGCGACUUCCUGCCACCCGAGGAGCUCAAAAAGUUCAUGGAGCAGUACGAGGCGAAGAAGAACAACCGGCAGCCUGAUCUCAGCGACUACAAGGAGUACAAACUGAAAGAGGACAAUAUUGGCUUCCAAAUGCUGCAGAAACUCGGUUGGAAGGAGGGGCAAGGCUUGGGACAGGACGGAGCCGGAAUUGUGGAUCCCGUGAACAAGACUUGGGGUGAGCAGCGCUGCCCAGCCGGAGGACUGCGACAAUGAAUACGACGCCUACAGGAAGCGAAUGAUGUUGGCGUAUCGUUUUCGUCCAAAUCCUUUGAACAAUCCUCGACGCGCUUACUACUAGCACUACCUAAUUAAACGUUCAUUACCCAUCCACCAUAUUAUCCGGAUAUCCUGGAUCCGAUUAUUCAACUACAGAUUUUGCUGAAUAAAAUGUCCUUGUUUAAAUUAAACAACGACACCCAGUGUAAUAUCUCACGAUUGUUUGAAACUUGUCGAUCGGGAUCCGUUUGGAAAUCGGAUAAGAACUGUUUCACACAAAACUUCACUAGGGACUUUCGUCAAGCGUUCAGGAGUUCGUUCAUAUAAAAGAGUAAGUAGUGUGAGUCUCUUGGAACUAGAGUCUGGGCUCUGGAAUUCAAAUUCAAUUGGGUUGCGGGGCGCAACGCCAACUCCAGGGAUGAGCUCGAUUCUACGGGGAACUGGGCGGAACACCUAACCGCUAAUAAUACUAAGUUGUACUCGAACUGGAAGCGAGGCUAGUCUAGGAGUAGAGCGUCAGAACGGGCGUCUGGUUGCCGCGGGCCAAUGCCACCGGACACUUCAUGUCCGAGGUGAGCAUCUCCAGCCAGGACAUGUACAGCGGUGCCGAGAUGGCCUCCUGAAAAAGGCGGAUACGUUAGUGGACGGGUCCAAGGAGCCACUACCAAACUGCUCACCUUGCGCGGCAUGGGCAGGGACAUGACGACCAGAGAAGCGUUCGAGGAGUGCUUGACCACCAGCUCAUGGAUGCGCAGCUGUCGAUUCGUCUUCUCGGCCAUGCUCUGCAGCUCCUCGUCCGUGAUGCCAAACUCGUUCCUGGCUCCGCGGCGGAAGGGCUCGAUCAAUCGCUUGUGCUUCAGCAGUGUGUCUGCGCGCGGCUGCUCGGACACGCCCUUGAGCAUGAUAAGCUCCGAGUACUUGAUGCGGAACUUGGUCAGCAAGCUGGCCAUGCUGUGGGUUUGAAAAAAUAAUAGUUAACUAUCAAAAUCUAUAGUGACUAAAACUAUGGAUAAAGGUACGUGUCUCCUCUUAUCGUAGUUAAAGAACAUAUAGAAUAUCUUUUAAAAGGAAUCAUUUAAAAAUUCUAAAUAUGAAUUAAUUUUCCAAAAAUUAACACUAGUUUUAAUCAAAUUAUCCUUACUGAACUUAUUUAAUAUAAAAAAAAUAUUUUAGACAACCAGGCUCUUAUGAACAUCCUUUUUAGAUAGUUAAAAUGUAUCUUUGUCUAUGAGUCUAGCUUAGUCAAAUGGAUGUGGCUUUUAUACGAAAAUUUGCGAUAUUUGUGAGAAAACCUUAAACUAUGUUUUACAAUAUUUUUUUAAGGUAAGUCCUAACCGGUUUUAAGAAGUAUUUUAAAUUUGUUACCAACUCUUACCUCUUUUCUUCCUGUUCCUCGUCCUUGCCGUGGCACAUGGUGAACACCCUGAGCUUGCAGUUCUGCCAGUGGGAGCGCAUGGAGAUGAUAUAUGGUAAGAGAAUGGUGAGACCUGUAUUUCAGGGGGUUAGAGGAUUAGAAAGGGCCACCAGGAGAGAAUGCAAUUCGACACCCACCUCCGUCGUCGUACAACCAGAAGACAUCGAUGGUGCCCUUGGGCUGUUUACGCGUAAAUAUGGUCAUGGCUUCCAGAAGGUUCUGGGGAAUGUCCGAUCCGCCCUUGGUAUGAUACGUCACGGCGGGCUCGUCCGAGUUGGUCACCUUGUAGCUGCGGGAGCUGCGCUGCAUGAUGGGCAUCGGCGCCGGCUGCGGCAUUGUGAACGAGGAGUUGGGACUGUCCAUGCCGGCCAGGUUGAGGUUGGAGUCUAUGUGCAGCAGCUCGGAGGCGGCAUUGGCCGCCGGCAUCAGCUCGUUGGUGAAUCCUUGGGCAUUGGCGGUGUGCAGGUGACCCAUUCCGUUGGGUGGCAGAGUGACCUCGGAACUCAGCUCCGAGAAGUCCAAUCCGUUGGGCAGGCGGAGCAGGGCCACGCCCAUGCGCUGCGAGAAGGCAUUGCUGUGGGCAAGUUCGAAAUGGUAAGAGAUACAUAACUCUAUUAUCAGUGAGUUUCACUUACUACAAAAUGGAAAAGUAACUCUCCACCUCCUCCUUGCGACAGCGAUUCCAGUCCGGUUUGUAGCCCACCAGCACUAUGUUCGGAGACAUCUUGCCGAAGCCCGUGGACUUGGUCAAAGCAUUGAUUCCGUCCUCCAGGCUGAACCCAUCGAUUACAUUGUAGAAGGCCUUUAUCUUGCGAGCAUCCAGGUACUUUUGUCCAUCCUUAACCAAGUGCUGACGGUUCUUGUAGCCCACUCGCACCUGCAAUGUGGGAAUAAGGUUGAGUAAAUCCAAAUUGGAAAUGAUCAUAAUAGAAGUACAUAUAAUUUAAAUUAAUAAUGAUAGUAUUUUUACGAUCAAAUAUUUUGAGAUCCUAGGAAAUACAAUUUUUCUUUAAAAUACUUGUUUCAAGUAUUACUCCCAAGCAUUAACGCCAUCUACAUACCGGAAUAAUAUUGGCCACGAACAUCAGGGAGUUGUUCUUGGUCAGCAGGUAGCCAAAGUCCACCAGUGGAGGCCUCGUCUUUGGAUCGCCGGAGAGCACCAGCACCUGCGGGUGGUAGUUCUUGACGUGGUCCGAGACGUUCUGCAGGCGGUGCACGGCCAUCAAGGCGGCCUUGUACUGCUGCGCCUGCGUGGUGGAUCCCCAGUUGGCCUCCGGCUUGCGGUACAUGACCACCAGGUACAGGGCGAAGAUGAUGCCGAAGGUAAUGAUGGCCGCCACGUAGUUUAUCAGGAACAUGAUGGCCACACACAUGGCGAACCCGAAGAGACUGAGCCAGGCGUUGUAGUACUUGAAGGUGGGUCGCCAUCCCAGUGGCUUCACGAAGGCCGCGUGGAAUGUGCAGAAGUUGAUGAGGGCGUAGGAGGCCAGGUAGAAGGUGGAGAUCAGGGGAGCGAUCAGGUUGAGCUCUCCGAUCAGCAGGAAGCCCGUGGUGAUGAAGAAGGUGAGCACGUAGCCGCGGUACGGUUCUCCGUGCUUUCCAUAGGGCUUCGAGAAGAAGAUCAGGCCCGGGUAGAUCUGGUCAAUGCCCAGGGCCUGCACCAGUCUGGGAACGGACAGGAGGUUGGUCAGGGCCGUACUCAGCGUGGCCGCGAAGCACCCGGCGUAGAUCAGCGGACCCCACAGCGACAUCUCCUGCAUCAUCUCGUAGGAGUUGAAGAGACCCCAGGUGCAGUUUCCGGUGGCCAUGCAGGGCAGUUCCGAGGCCACAAGAGUGCCGUUGAUCAGGUCCGCCGGGUUGCCGGAGGCAUCCCUCGCAGCAGCUCCGCCGGCGAAGAGGACGAAGAGGGCGUAGGAAGUCAUCGAGAUGAGCAGCGACCAGAAGGUUCCCUUCGGAAUGGCUGCCCCGGCAUCCUUGAGAUCUCCGCAGAUAUUUGCUCCUGCCUGAAUGCCAGUGACGCUGGGAAAGAAGAUGGCGAACACACUGAAGAAGUCGUGGUUCACACCCUCCGCAUAACGAUAGUCCGAGCCAAAGUUCUCCUUGAAGGUGCUCCCUAAAAAGUGUCAACCGUUGUAGAAUAGUUAUUUUGUUUAAAUGUGGUUAACUCACAUGAGAAGCCUACGAAACCCCUUGAUAUGUUCUGCUCAUUUCCCUGAGGUCCAAUGGCAGCCCCGAUAAGGAAAUUGAAGAUGGCCAGGACAAUAGUGACGAUCAGGAAGUUUUGCGCCUUCGUCUCCCACUCCAUGCCCACGCAGCAGAUCAGGAUGAGUACCAAAACAGUCACCGAUCCAACGAUUCGGAUGUCAUUGAUACCGUUGUCGACAAUCUUCAGAUCGUUGUUCUCUGAAAAAUGGUUUGUUGAAUUAUAAAUAGUUUACAGAAGUAAUUGGUUAAUAAUAACAAGUUGGAAACGCGGAUAAUUAUAAUAGCUUUUUUGCUAUCAGGCUCAAGACUGUCUGACUGAAGUCGGGAUCUGGAAACCUUUAAUAUCUUGAGAAUAUCUAUUGGCUAUACUGUUUUUUUUUAAUUCUAAGAAGGCAUUUGUGUUUGAAAUUUUCAUUUAGUACGCCUUACCUAUUUACGGAAACUAAACAUAAACUCGACUAUACCCUUCUUAUUUAAAUGUGUAAGGAACCUUUAUAUUUUAUUUACAAAUUUAACGACUAAAUCGAUCAAAUACCUGCCCAAGUUAAGACCGGUACGAAUCGAACUUUGUUACUUUAAACCGAACUAAGCAUUCCCUCUUUCUUUACGAAUACCGGGGGUAAUAAAUUGAACCCUUGGUGAAAUUAAUUGAUACUCACUCAGUAAAACAUUUAGCGAUUCGCAGAAGCCGAUGGUGUUCAUUGAGGCCGAGACGGCGUUGGCGAAGGCAAACACCACGCCCACCGACGCCCCAAACUCGGGCCCCAGCGAACGGGAUAUGAUGAAGUAGACCCCGCCACCCUUGACCUCGCCGUUGGUGCUAAUGGCUGACAGCGAGAGCGUCGUGAUGACGCAGACCACCGCGGAGAUCGUAAUUAUAAUCAGCGACUGCAAGAUGCCGGACUCGGCCACCACCCAGCUGAGGCGCAGGAAGAGCAUGACGCCCCAGAUGUUGAGGAGACAUGGUAUCAGGACGCCCACAAUCCAUCCCAGCUUGAUGUGUCCGCCAGUGCUUUCCGGUUCGGGUUCGGGAAUAGUAAUGCUCUGCAACGAAGAAUGGAUCAUUUAAUACUUAAAUACUUAAAAAACGAUAUAAACAUAUAUAUUAUUAA